UUUUUCCAUGUGUUUUGAAAGACCUCUGAAGGGAGACCCUCACUCAAGUCUCGGGAUAAUAGCGGACCACCAAGAACUCACGAGAGAUC
rnacentral:pre_miRNA from 7 species